UCGGAAUUACUGGGCGUAAAGCGUGCGCAGGCGGCUUUGCAAGACAGAUGUGAAAUCCCCGGGCUCAACCUGGGAACUGCAUUUGUGACUGCAUGGCUUGAGUGCGGCAGAGGGGGAUGGAAUUCCGCGUGUAGCAGUGAAAUGCGUAGAUAUGCGGAGGAACACCGAUGGCGAGGGCAAUCCCCUGGGCCUGCACUGACGCUCAUGCACGAAAGCGUGGGGAGCAAACAGG
rnacentral:rRNA from 1 species